UACGGAGGGGGCAAGCGUUGUUCGGAAUUACUGGGCGUAAAGCGCGCGUAGGCGGCGAUGCAAGUCAGAGGUGAAAUGCCCGGGCUCAACCUGGGAGGUGCCUUUGAUACUGCCAGUCUAGAGUUCGGGAGAGGUGAGCGGAAUUCCGAGUGUAGAGGUGAAAUUCGUAGAUAUUCGGAGGAACACCAGAGGCGAAGGCGGCUCACUGGACCGAUACUGACGCUGAGGAGCGAAAGCGUGGGGAGCAAACAGGAUUAGAUACCCCGGUAGUCC
rnacentral:rRNA from 1 species